rnacentral:misc_RNA from 1 species
GAUGAAGAACGCAGCAAAAUGCGAUAAGUAGUGUGAAUUGCAGAAUUCAGUGAAUCAUCGAAUCUUUGAACGCACAUUGCGCCCGCCAGUAUUCUGGCGGGCAUGCCUGUUCGAGCGUCAUUACAACCCUCAGGCCCCCGGGCCUGGCGUUGGGGAUCGGCGGAGCCCCCCGUGGGCACACGCCGUCCCCCAAAUGCAGUGGCGGUCCCGCCGCAGCUUCCAUCGCGUAGUAGCUAACACCUCGCGACUGGAGAGCGGCGCGGCCACGCCGUAAAACACCCAACUCUUCUGAAGUUGACCUCGAAUCAGGUAGGAAUACCCGCUGAACUUAAGCAUAUCAAUAAGCGGAGGA